AAUGACGCGCGUUUUGACUGACAGUCGAGCGGAUGACGGGAGCAUUGCUCCUUGAUUCAGCGGCGGACGGGUGAGUAAUACCUAGGAAUCUGCCUGAUAGUGGGGGACAACGUUUCGAAAGGAACGCUAAUACCGCAUACGUCCUACGGGAGAAAGCAGGGGACCUUCGGGCCUUGCGCUAUCAGAUGAGCCUAGGUCGGAUUAGCUAGUUGGUGAGGUAAUGGCUCACCAAGGCGACGAUCCGUAACUGGUCUGAGAGGAUGAUCAGUCACACUGGAACUGAGACACGGUCCAGACUCCUACGGGAGGCAGCAGUGGGGAAUAUUGGACAAUGGGCGAAAGCCUGAUCCAGCCAUGCCGCGUGUGUGAAGAAGGUCUUCGGAUUGUAAAGCACUUUAAGUUGGGAGGAAGGGCAGUAAGCUAAUACCUUGCUGUUUUGACGUUACCGACAGAAUAAGCACCGGCUAACUCUGUGCCAGCAGCCGCGGUAAUACAGAGGGUGCAAGCGUUAAUCGGAAUUACUGGGCGUAAAGCGCGCGUAGGUGGUUCGUUAAGUUGGAUGUGAAAUCCCCGGGCUCAACCUGGGAACUGCAUCCAAAACUGGCGAGCUAGAGUAGGGCAGAGGGUGGUGGAAUUUCCUGUGUAGCGGUGAAAUGCGUAGAUAUAGGAAGGAACACCAGUGGCGAAAGGCGACCACCUGGGCUCAUACUGACACUGAGGUGCGAAAGCGUGGGGAGCAAAACAGGAUUAGAUACCCUGGUAGUCCACGCCGUAAACGAUUGUCAACUAGCCGUUGGAAUCCUUGAGAUUUUUAGUGGCGCAGCUAACGCAUUAAAUUUGACCGCCCUGGGGGAGUACGGCCGCAAGGUUAAAUCUC
rnacentral:rRNA from 1 species